AACGAACGCUGGCGGCAUGCCUAACACAUGCAAGUCGAACGAAGCCUUCGGGCUUAGUGGCGCACGGGUGCGUAACGCGUGGGAAUCUGCCCCUUGCUUCGGAAUAACAGUUAGAAAUGACUGCUAAUACCGGAUGAAGUCUUCGGACCAAAGAUUUAUCGGCAAGGGAUGAGCCCGCGUAGGAUUAGGUAGUUGGUGGGGUAAAGGCCUACCAAGCCGACGAUCCUUAGCUGGUCUGAGAGGAUGAUCAGCCACACUGGGACUGAGACACGGCCCAGACUCCUACGGGAGGCAGCAGUGGGGAAUAUUGGACAAUGGACGCAAGUCUGAUCCAGCAAUGCCGCGUGAGUGAUGAAGGCCUUAGGGCUGUAAAGCUCUUUUACCAGGGAUGAUAAUGACAGUACCUGGAGAAUAAGCUCCGGCUAACUCCGUG
rnacentral:rRNA from 1 species